UACGGGGGGGCAAGCGUUGUUCGGAAUUACUGGGCGUAAAGGGUGCGUAGGCGGUUCGCUAAGUCGGAUGUGAAAACUCUGGGCUCAACCCAGAGCCUGCAUCCGAAACUGGCGGGCUAGAGUUCUGGAGGGGAUAGCGGAAUUCCUGGUGUAGCGGUGAAAUGCGUAGAUAUCAGGAGGAACACCGGUGGCGAAGGCGGCUAUCUGGACAGAAACUGACGCUGAGGCACGAAAGCUAGGGGAGCAAACAGG
rnacentral:rRNA from 1 species